rnacentral:rRNA from 1 species
CACAUGCAAGUCGAACGCCCCGCAAGGGGAGUGGCAGACGGGUGAGUAACGCGUGGGAACAUACCCUUUCCUGCGGAAUAGCUCCGGGAAACUGGAAUUAAUACCGCAUACGCCCUACGGGGGAAAGAUUAUCGGGGAAGGAUUGGCCCGCGUUGGAUUAGCUAGUUGGUGGGGUAAAGGCCUACCAAGGCGACGAUCCAUAGCUGGUCUGAGAGGAUGAUCAGCCACAUUGGGACUGAGACACGGCCCAAACUCCUACGGGAGGCAGCAGUGGGGAAUAUUGGACAAUGGGCGCAAGCCUGAUCCAGCCAUGCCGCGUGAGUGAUGAAGGCCUUAGGGUUGUAAAGCUCUUUCACCGGAGAAGAUAAUGACGGUAUCCGGAGAAGAAGCCCCGGCUAACUUCGUGCCAGCAGCCGCGGUAAUACGAAGGGGGCUAGCGUUGUUCGGAAUUACUGGGCGUAAAGCGCACGUAGGCGGAUAUUUAAGUCAGGGGUGAAAUCCCAGAGCUCAACUCUGGAACUGCCUUUGAUACUGGGUAUCUUGAGUAUGGAAGAGGUAAGUGGAAUUCCGAGUGUAGAGGUGAAAUUCGUAGAUAUUCGGAGGACACCAGUGGCGAAGGCGGCUUACUGGUCCAUUACUGACG